ACAUAAGCUGUGAAGGAACAUAGUACGUUACCUCUCGACUUGUCAGGGAGAAGAUGCCAUAGACUGGAAGCAUCUUUAGGAUCGAUGUAGCUGAAUUCACUCUGGAGCUGACACUUGUCCGGUUGAAUAACCGUUAUUGCAAUGAAGUGAACGGUGCAUUUAUAUUGCACUGUUAAUUAGGGUGGUACCGCGAAAGAUAAGUCUUCGUCCCUUUU
rfam:Bacillus azotoformans LMG 9581 contig47, whole genome shotgun sequence.